ACCAAAAGAGCUUUGAAAGAACCCUCAGAGUUACCAAUGAGCCCUUGUUCUCCUUCAAAUCUGAACCUAGUUACCAGUCAGCCACAGUACUGUAUUGAUACGCCGGGUUAUAAAGUCAGAAAACAUCGUCUCUCUGAAGAAUUCAAGUUCACGCCGCUGUCUCCUUUGCUUGAAUCGAACCUGUCUGAUGCCAGUGGCUCAGAAAAUCAUCCGCAACCACCCACAACAUCUUCUGGCUCUUCAGAUCCAAUCCAACCCAAA